AUUUGCUUGAUAAUAAUCAUCUCCAGCUCCCCUGCACUGUCUCCGCUCUCCCUCUCAUGCACACACACACACACACACACACAGCCCCAUACCAGGCCAUCCCAUCCUCAGCUCAGCCCUGCUCUCAACCCUCUUCACUUUCCAGAGGACCUGAGCAAGGUGACCCCACCCACGGUCAACGUGUUCGAGCCAUCAGAAGCAGAGAUCGCCCAGAAACAAAAGGCCACCCUCGUGUGCCUGGCCACGGGCUUCUACCCCGACCACGUGGAGCUGACCUGGUGGGUGAACGGGAAGGAGGCGCACAGUGGGGUCAGCACGGACCCUCAGCCCUACCAUGAGUACCCCAAUGUCAGCGACUCCACCUACUGCCUGAGCAGCCGCCUGAGGGUCUCGGCUGCCUUCUGGCACAAUCCUCGCAACCACUUCCGCUGCCAAGUCCAGUUCUUUGGGCUGGAGGAGAAAGAUGAGUGGACCUACGAUAAGGCCAAGCCUGUCACCCAGAACAUCAGUGCCGAGAUGCAGGGCAGGGCAG